AUACUUACCCAGACAGGUCAAUGGGUGAUGAAGAAAGCCUUUGGACUACAUUAGUAACCACGAUUGCACUUUGUAAGGGUGCUUGCCUAAGGUCUACCCGAGUUUCCCAAGCUUAUGUCAUAAUUUGUGAUAGUGGCGAUUUGUGAUUGUGCUGCUCUUGU